UCUCCCCCCCAACUUUAUUUCCAUUGCCCCCAAUGGAUGAAGAAAAUAACAAAGUAGAAUAGAGAAAGAAAUUACAAGGAAAGAUACCACCUGGAUGUGAUGUGCUCGUUCAUUGUCAGGUGAGGGAUUCUUCCUUUGUGGGCGUGAUUAGUUCAUGACUCCAUCUGGGCUUUGGAUGAGAUGCUCCCCCCAACUUGGCUGAUUGUCUUUCUUGAAUUUUU
rnacentral:lncRNA from 1 species